GACGAACGCUGGCGGCGUGCCUAAUACAUGCAAGUUGAGCGAUGAAGAUUGGUGCUUGCACCAAUUUGAAGAGCAGCGCACGGGUGAGUAACGCGUGGGGAAUCUGCCUUUGAGCGGGGGACAACAUUUGGAAACGAAUGCUAAUACCGCAUAACAACUUUAAACAUAAGUUUUAAGUUUGAAAGAUGCAAUUGCAUCACUCAAAGAUGAUCCCGCGUUGUAUUAGCUAGUUGGUGAGGUAAAGGCUCACCAAGGCGAUGAUACAUAGCCGACCUGAGAGGGUGAUCGGCCACAUUGGGACUGAGACACGGCCCAAACUCCUACGGGAGGCAGCAGUAGGGAAUCUUCGGCAAUGGACGAAAGUCUGACCGAGCAACGCCGCGUGAGUGAAGAAGGUUUUCGGAUCGUAAAACUCUGUUGGUAGAGAAGAACGUUGGUGAGAGUGGAGAGCUCAUCAAGUGACGGUAACUACCCAGAAAGGGACGGCUAACUACGUG
rnacentral:rRNA from 1 species